UACGUAGGGUGCGAGCGUUGUCCGGAAUUAUUGGGCGUAAAGAGCUCGUAGGCGGUGUGUCACGUCGUUCGUGAAAACCUGCAGCUUAACUGUGGGCGUGCGGUCGAUACGGGCAUCACUGGAGUUCGGCAGGGGAGACUGGAAUUCCUGGUGUAGCGGUGAAAUGCGCAGAUAUCGUAAGGAAGACCAGUGGCGAAGGCGGGUCUCUGGACAGUUCCUGACGCUGAGGCACGAAGGUCAGGGGAGCAAACGGG
rnacentral:rRNA from 1 species